GACGAACGCUGGCGGCGUGCUUAACACAUGCAAGUCGAACGGAAAGGCCCUGCUUUUGUGGGGUGCUCGAGUGGCGAACGGGUGAGUAACACGUGAGUAACCUGCCCUUGUCUUUGGGAUAACUUCAGGAAACUGGGGCUAAUACCGGAUAGGAGCUCCUGCUGCAUGGUGGGGGUUGGAAAGUUUCGGCGGUUGGGGAUGGACUCGCGGGUUAUCAGCUUGUUUGUGAGGUAGUGGCUUACCAAGGCUUUGACGGGUAGCCGGCCUGAGAGGGUGACCGGCCACCUUGGGACUGAGAGACGGCCCAGACUGCUACGGGAGGCAGCGGUGGGGAAUAUUGCACAAUGGGCGGAAGCCUGAUGCAGCAGCGCCGCGUGCGGGAUGACGGCCUUCGGGUUGUAAACCGCUUUCGCCUGUAACGAAGCGUGAGUGACGGUAAUGGGUAAAGAAGCACCGGCUAACUACGUG
rnacentral:rRNA from 1 species